CCUACGGGAGGCAGCAGUGGGGAAUAUUGGACAAUGGGGGCAACCCUGACCCAGCCAUGCCGCGUGUGUGAAGAAGGCCCUCGGGUUGUAAAGCACUUUCAGUGAGGAAGAACGCCUGGUGGUUAAUACCCAUCAGGAAAGACAUCACUCACAGAAGAAGCACCGGCUAACUCCGUGCCAGCAGCCGCGGUAAUACGGAGGGUGCGAGCGUUAAUCGGAAUUACUGGGCGUAAAGCGCGCGUAGGUGGCUUGAUAAGCCGGUUGUGAAAGCCCCGGGCUCAACCUGGGAACGGCAUCCGGAACUGUCAAGCUAGAGUGCAGGAGAGGAAGGUAGAAUUCCCGGUGUAGCGGUGAAAUGCGUAGAGAUCGGGAGGAAUACCAGUGGCGAAGGCGGCCUUCUGGACUGACACUGACACUGAGGUGCGAAAGCGUGGGUAGCAAACAGGAUUAGAUACCCGAGUAGUC
rnacentral:rRNA from 1 species